AUUGAACGCUGGCGGCAGGCUUAACACAUGCAAGUCGAGCGGGGUGAUGGUGCUUGCACUAUCACUUAGCGGCGGACGGGUGAGUAAUGCUUAGGAAUCUGCCUAUUAGUGGGGGACAACAUCUCGAAAGGGAUGCUAAUACCGCAUACGUCCUACGGGAGAAAGCAGGGGAUCACUUGUGACCUUGCGCUAAUAGAUGAGCCUAAGUCGGAUUAGCUAGUUGGUGGGGUAAAGGCCUACCAAGGCGACGAUCUGUAGCGGGUCUGAGAGGAUGAUCCGCCACGCUGGGACUGAGACACGGCCCAGACUCCGAAGGGAGGAAGCAGUGGGGAAUAUUGGACAAUGGGGGGAACCCUGAUCCAGCCAUGCCGCGUGUGUGAAGAAGGCCUUAUGGUUGUAAAGCACUUUAAGCGAGGAGGAGGCUCUUUUGGUUAAUACCCAAGAUGAGUGGACGUUACUCGCAGAAUAAGCACCGGCUAACUCUGUGCCAGCAGCCGCCGUAA
rnacentral:rRNA from 1 species